GUGGUUUUUUAGCUUCAAAUCAGGCAGAAAUUUGGAGCUCUGACUUUAUGGGAUGACUUUCUCUAGGACAGAUAAUGAAACUCAGAUAAGGUUCUCCAGCUGCAUGAAAUACAAAGCCAGCAAGCAAGAUAUACACUGAUGGGUAGAGGAGGUAUGAAUCAAACCAUGAGUGUUGUGGAUACCUGGUAACACUUCAGAAGGUGGAAGAUCAAUGGAAAGAUAAACUUUGAUUGUGACAGGCUUAGGAUCCAGCCCUAUGUACAUGAUUGGUUUUAUUACCCAAUUAGUCUACUCCUCCUCUUUGAAAAGCAUGACAUCCCAGACAUAGAUUUAGUUUAAAGAAAUAAAAACCAUGAUAAAAUCUCAAAACUCAG